CUGGGGGACUGCUUGACUGGGGGACUGCUUGUCUGGGGGACUGCUUGUCUUGGGGACUGCUUGACUGGGGAACUGUUUGACUGGGGGACUGCUUGUCUUGGGGACUGCUUGUCUUGGGGACUGCUUGUCUUGUGUACUACCUGACUGGGGAACUGUUUGACUGGGGGACUGCUUGUCUUGGGGACUGCUUGUCUUGUGGACUACCUGACUGGGGAACUGCUUGUCUUGGGGACUGCUUGACUGGGGAACUGUUUGACUGGGGAACUGCUUGUCUUGGGGACUGCUUGACUGGGGAACUGUUUGACCGGGGAACUACUUGACUAGGGGGCUCCUUGACUGGGGAACUACUUGACUUGGGAACUGCUUGACUGGGGGACUACUUGACUAGGGAACUACUUGAUCGGGGAACUACUUGACUAGGGGGCUCCUUGACUGGGGAACUACUUGACUGGGGAACUGCUUGACUGGGGGACUACUUGACUAGGGAACUACUUGACCGGGGAACUACUUGACUAGGGGGCUCCUUGAGAGGGGAACUGCUUGACUGGGGAACUGUUUGAUCGGGGGACUACUUGACUUGGGAACUGCUUGACUGGGGAACUGCUUGACUGGGGGACUACUUGACUAGGGAACUACUUGACCGGGGAACUACUUGACUAGGGGGCUCCUUGACUGGGGAACUGCUUGACUAGGGAACUGCUUGACUGGGGAACUGCUUGACUGGGGAACUGCUUGACUGGGGGACUACCUGACUGGGGAACUGUUUGACUGGGGGACUGUUUGACUGGGGAACUGUUUGACUUGGGGACUGCUUGACUGGGGGACUGCUUGUCUGGGGGACUGCUUGUCUUGGGGACUGCUUGACUGGGGGACUGCUUGUCUUGGGGACUGCUUGUCUUGUGGACUACCUGACUGGGGGACUGCUUGACUGGGGAACUGUUUGACUUGGGGACUGCUUGUCUUGGGGACCGCUUGACUGGGGAACUGUUUGACUGGGGAACUGUUUGACUGGGGAACUGCUUGAGAGUGACUAAAGCUGCAGGUCCACCAAGGAGUUCAAACUGUGCUUGGCUCUUGUCAGUGUUGUAUUUAUGCAUUGAUUGGUGGGCUUUACUUGUUGCCCAUGCUUCAGCUGUCCUGUAAAAUAGGGUGGUCACAAUUGAAGGUGUACAUUGCACUAACAUAAACAGACUGAUACAUCUACUGCUGAAUUAACACAGUAUAAACAUUUGAUACGACACUGUCACAUUACACACAGUAUAUUACACAGAACUCAUGACAAAAGCAAUAAAAAUAAUUAAGUAAAUAUGUACAAAGGUUACCAUGGUUACAUCUGCCACAACAAAACAAUAUGAAACAGAUUUUAAGUAAGCAAUGUUCUGUGUGUACAUGUAUGUUGUGUUGUCUGUUUAUGGAGCCCAGUUUGUCUACAGUAGGUGUACAUGUAUGUUGUGUUGUCAGUUUGUGGAGCCCAGUUUGUCUACAGUAGGUGUACAUGUAUGUUGUGUUGUCAGUUUGUGGAGCCCAGUUUGUCUACAGUCGGUGUACAUGUAUGUUGUGUUGUCAGUUUGUGGAGCCCAGUUUGUCUACAGUAGGUGUACAUGUAUGUUGUGUUGUCAGUUUGUGGAGCCCAGUUUGUCUACAGUAGGUGUACAUGUAUGUUGUGUUGUCAGUUUGUGGAGCCCAGUUUGUCUACAGUCGGUGUACAUGUAUGUUGUGUUGUCAGUUUGUGGAGCCCAGCUUGUCUACAGUAGGUGUACAUGUGUGUAGUGUUGUGGAGCCCAGUUUGUCUACAGUAGGUGUACAUGUGUGUAGUGUUGUGGAGCCCAGGUUGUCUACAGUAGGUGUACAUGUAUGUUGUGUUGUCAGUUUGUGGAGCCCAGGUUGUCUACAGUAGGUGUACAUGUAUGUUGUGUUGUCAGUUUGUGGAGCCCAGUUUGUCUACAGUAGGUGUACAUGUAUGUUGUGUUGUCAGUUUGUGGAGCCCAGUUUGUCUACAGUAGGUGUACAUGUGUGUAGUGUUGUGGAGCCCAGUUUGUCUACAGUAGGUGUACAUGUGUGUAGUGUUGUGGAGCCCAGUUUGUCUACAGUAGGUGUACAUGUAUGUUAUGUUGUCAGUUUGUGGAGCCCAGUUUGUCUACAGUAGGUGUACAUGUAUGUUAUGUUGUCAGUUUGUGGAGCCCAGUUUGUCUACAGUAGGUGUACAUGUAUGUUAUGUUGUCAGUUUGUGGAGCCCAGGUUGUCUACAGUAGGUGUACAUGUAUGUUGUGUUGUCAGUUUGUGGAGCCCAGGUUGUCUACAGUAGGUGUACAUGUAUGUUGUGUUGUCAGUUUGUGGAGCCCAGGUUGUCUACAGUAGGUGUACAUGUAUGUUGUGUUGUCAGUUUGUGGAGCCCAGGUUGUCUACAGUAGGUGUACAUGUAUGUUGUGUUGUCAGUUUGUGGAGCCCAGGUUGUCUACAGUAGGUGUACAUGUAUGUUGUGUUGUCAGUUUGUGGAGCCCAGUUUGUCUACAGUAGGUGUACAUGUAUGUUGUGUUGUCUGUUUAUGGAGCCCAGUUUGUCUACAGUAGGUGUACAUGUAUGUUGUGUUGUCAGUUUGUGGAGCCCAGUUUGUCUACAGUAGGUGUACAUGUGUGUAGUGUUGUGGAGCCCAGUUUGUCUACAGUAGGUGUACAUGUAUGUUAUGUUGUCAGUUUACGGAGCCCAGUUUGUCUACAGUAGGUGUACAUGUGUGUAGUGUUGUGGAGCCCAGUUUGUCUACAGUAGGUGUACAUGUGUGUAGUGUUGUGGAGCCCAGUUUGUCUACAGUAGGUGUACAUGUGUGUAGUGUUGUGGAGCCCAGUUUGUCUACAGUAGGUGUACAUGUAUGUUGUGUUGUCAGUUUGUGGAGCCCAGGUUGUCUACAGUAGGUGUACAUGUAUGUUGUGUUGUCAGUUUGUGGAGCCCAGGUUGUCUACAGUAGGUGUACAUGUGUGUUGUGUUGUGGAGCCCAGUUUGUCUACAGUAGGUGUACAUGUGUGUUGUGUUGUGGAGCCCAGUUUGUCUACAGUAGGUGUACAUGUAUGUUGUGUUGUCAGUUUGUGGAGCCCAGUUUGUCUACAGUCGGUGUACAUGUAUGUUGUGUUGUCUGUUUAUGGAGCCCAGUUUGUCUACAGUAGGUGUACAUGUAUGUUGUGUUGUCAGUUUGUGGAGCCCAGUUUGUCUACAGUAGGUGUACAUGUAUGUUGUGUUGUCAGUUUGUGGAGCCCAGGUUGUCUACAGUAGGUGUACAUGUAUGUUGUGUUGUCAGUUUGUGGAGCCCAGUUUGUCUACAGUAGGUGUACAUGUAUGUUGUGUUGUCAGUUUGUGGAGCCCAGGUUGUCUACAGUAGGUGUACAUGUAUGUUGUGUUGUCAGUUUGUGGAGCCCAGUUUGUCUACAGUAGGUGUACAUGUGUGUAGUGUUGUGGAGCCCAGUUUGUCUACAGUAGGUGUACAUGUGUGUAGUGUUGUGGAGCCCAGUUUGUCUACAGUAGGUGUACAUGUAUGUUAUGUUGUCAGUUUGUGGAGCCCAGUUUGUCUACAGUAGGUGUACAUGUGUGUAGUGUUGUGGAGCCCAGGUUGUCUACAGUAGGUGUACAUGUAUGUUGUGUUGUCAGUUUGUGGAGCCCAGUUUGUCUACAGUAGGUGUACAUGUAUGUUGUGUUGUCAGUUUGUGGAGCCCAGUUUGUCUACAGUAGGUGUACAUGUGUGUAGUGUUGUGGAGCCCAGUUUGUCUACAGUAGGUGUACAUGUGUGUAGUGUUGUGGAGCCCAGUUUGUCUACAGUAGGUGUACAUGUGUGUAGUGUUGUGGAGCCCAGUUUGUCUACAGUAGGUGUACAUGUAUGUUAUGU